rnacentral:lncRNA from 1 species
AGCACUUCCUUGUUCCUUGUCUCCCGUGAAGAAUCAACGUAAAGAGAGACAAAAUUAGAAAAUCUCGAAGAAUAUACCUAAAGUAUGUGAAUAAAAAUAGGCGGUCUCAGUUAGCCAAUGCGAGAAAAGCAGUGAAAGAAAGAAACAAUUUGCCUGAUCCGCCGAUUGAGGCAGUGACAGUACAGGUAGAGGAGGAAAAUGAGGUAGCCCGCAGCAGCGCGUCGAGACGCAAGUUAGUUGAGUUGAAGAUGACAACUUGCAGCGAUCAACCAGACAGCAGCCAGCCAACAGUGGCUUUCAUUCCACAUAUCUCAAAUAAACCUGUACAUGAUUUGAUUUGCCCUAAGUGUCUAAACACUGGACUGAAAAUCACCAUAGACUUCACCAACCAGUGAUUCUGUAAUUCUGUCAUGAUAGAAUGUGCAGACUGUUUAGGUGAUCGUAAUGCAUUUAGGAGGGGUGUUUACACUUCCUCCAGGCUGCAGGAGUGCUCCAGGGGAGAUGUGGCAUUUGAUAUAAAUGUGAGGAUGGUUCUUCUAGCCCACGAACUUGGACUUGGUUAUGCAGCUCUAAAGAAAAUAAGCAAAGCCUUAGGGAUUCCUUCCUUGCAUCUCAGCUCAUAUCAGAGACAUGAGAGGAGAAUGACAGUUGCAGAGAUUCAUCGAGAGCUACAGUCAAUGGAGAGUGCUGCAAAGAUAAUUAGAAGAGCAUACGCAGAUAUAAACCCAGGCAUAGCAGAGUUGCUGAAGGAGGAUGAGGAUGGCAACAUAGACAUGAAUGUAUCCUUCGAUGGCACUUGGCACAAGAUAGAAUUCACUUCCAACUACGGGAUAGGUGUGUGCAUUGGUGCUGGUACCAGCGAGCCAUAGAAAAUUGUGAAAAUCCACCCCGUCACAAAAACCUUGGAGGCCAUAAAAAAAUGCAAUAGAGAGGUUGCACAGAAAAUGGUACCUGUAUAUCAUAGGAUGUCAAAUGAUAACGUCCUCAAAAGAAUGUAGCACGGAGGAACCCAGAAUGCAAAUGAAUGUCUGAACUUUGUAAUAUGGUCGCAAUGCCCCAGAACUGUCUUCAUUGUCAAGAGCCGCAUUGAUGGAGCAGCCAGUGUGGCAGUAGCCACGUUCAAUGAGGGAGCCACUGCUAUAACAAAUGUGAUGAACAAAUUGUGCAUUGACAGCACUUUGGUGACACUGGAGCAAUCAGAGAGGAGUUGUGAGAGCUGAUUCUGCUUCAAUGGAGUGUGCCAAGCGUAGGCGCAGGUCCCAUGACACAGUCAAGAAUGUAAAGCGUCACCAGCAACAACUCAAGAGGGCCUUACAUAUGGGGCAGGCAUAGCUGAUUAAUGUUCUGCACAUUUCAACAGCCAUACAAAAUCCUUGUAUGUGACAAAUUGAGCAAAGUGAUAUGAGAAUUUGCCCAAAACUGCAUAUUUACCCAAAAGACCAGUAUUCAAAGCAUAUGCUCUACUGCUUGAAACAAAUGUAUUAAACGUGCUAAUGUAUUUGUAAAAGGUAUAUUUUGUUUAUUUGUCAGUUUAGAAGUGAUAUAUAAAUUAGAGUUGAAUUAAUGUGACAUAAAUAAUCAUAUGGAAAGUACAUUUUAAUUGCAUUAGCCUAUCUUUAUUGGCCAUUUUCUCAAAAUGACAUGUUCCCGGUGUGCCAAUUCAUUUUCCUCAGUCCUCAAAGGAUGUACAUUCCCAUUAUUCCACACACAGGUCCUUGGGUCUUAUGGUCAGACUUUUACAGAGGCUUUUUUUAUCUCUUAUGUCGUUUUUGAUUUUAAGUGUCACUGUAUGUGUAAAUAUAUGCAAAAUAUGUAUCCGUCAUACAUGUGAAUAGUGUUUUUUUAAAUAAUUCCAUGAAAUGAUAAUAUUUUGAUAAACUGAUCUGUAAAAAUCUAACCAUUGAGUGUCUUAUCACAAUAAA